rnacentral:rRNA from 1 species
GAGAGCUUGCUCUCUGGGUGACGAGCGGCGGACGGGUGAGUAAUGUCUGGGAAACUGCCUGAUGGAGGGGGAUAACUACUGGAAACGGUAGCUAAUACCGCAUAACGUCUACGGACCAAAGUGGGGGACCUUCGGGCCUCACGCCAUCAGAUGUGCCCAGAUGGGAUUAGCUAGUAGGUGGGGUAAUGGCUCACCUAGGCGACGAUCCCUAGCUGGUCUGAGAGGAUGACCAGCCACACUGGAACUGAGACACGGUCCAGACUCCUACGGGAGGCAGCAGUGGGGAAUAUUGCACAAUGGGCGCAAGCCUGAUGCAGCCAUGCCGCGUGUGUGAAGAAGGCCUUAGGGUUGUAAAGCACUUUCAGCGAGGAGGAAGGGUUCAGUGUUAAUAGCACUGUUCAUUGACGUUACUCGCAGAAGAAGCACCGGCUAACUCCGUGCCAGCAGCCGCGGUAAUACGGAGGGUGCAAGCGUUAAUCGGAAUUACUGGGCGUAAAGCGCACGCAGGCGGUUUGUUAAGUCAGAUGUGAAAUCCCCGCGCUUAACGUGGGAACUGCAUUUGAAACUGGCAAGCUAGAGUCUUGUAGAGGGGGGUAGAAUUCCAGGUGUAGCGGUGAAAUGCGUAGAGAUCUGGAGGAAUACCGGUGGCGAAGGCGGCCCCCUGGACAAAGACUGACGCUCAGGUGCGAAAGCGUGGGGAGCNNNCAGGAUUAGAUACCCUGGUAGUCCACGCUGUAAACGAUGUCGAUUUGGAGGUUGUGCCCUUGAGGCGUGGCUUCCGGAGCUAACGCGUUAAAUCGACCGCCUGGGGAGUACGGCCGCAAGGU